ACGUAGGGGGCGAGCGUUGUCCGGAUUUAUUGGGCGUAAAGAGCUCGUAGGCGGUUUGGCAAGUCGGGUGUGAAAGCUCGAGGCUCAACCUCGAGACGCCGAUGGAAACCCUCCAGCUAGAGUCCGGAAGAGGAGAGUGGAAUUCCUGGUGUAGCGGUGAAAUGCGCAGAUAUCAGGAAGAACACCCGUGGCUAAGGCGGCUCUCUAGUACGGUACUGACGCUGAGACGCGAAAGCGUGGGGAGCGAACAGGA
rnacentral:rRNA from 1 species